GAUGAACGCUGGCGGCGUGCCUAAUACAUGCAAGUCGAGCGAACAGACGAGGAGCUUGCUCCUUUGACGUUAGCGGCGGACGGGUGAGUAACACGUGGGUAACCUACCUAUAAGACUGGGAUAACUUCGGGAAACCGGAGCUAAUACCGGAUAAUAUUUCGAACCGCAUGGUUCGAUAGUGAAAGAUGGCUCUGCUAUCACUUAUAGAUGGACCUGCGCCGUAUUAGCUAGUUGGUAAGGUAACGGCUUACCAAGGCAACGAUACGUAGCCGACCUGAGAGGGUGAUCGGCCACACUGGAACUGAGACACGGUCCAGACUCCUACGGGAGGCAGCAGUAGGGAAUCUUCCGCAAUGGGCGAAAACCUGACGGAGCAACGCCGCGUGAGUGAUGAAGGUCUUCGGAUCGGAAAACUCUGUUAUUAGGGAAGAACAAACGUGUAAGUAACUGUGCACGUCUUGACGGUACAUAAUCAGAAAGCCACGGCUAACUACGUG
rnacentral:rRNA from 1 species